rnacentral:rRNA from 1 species
GACGAACGCUGGCGGCGUGCUUAACACAUGCAAGUCGAACGGAAAGGCCUGCUUUCCCUUGUGGAUUGCGGGUACUCGAGUGGCGAACGGGUGAGUAACACGUGAGUGAUCUGCCCCCAACUUGGGUAUAAGCCUGGGAAACUGGGUCUAAUUCCCGAUAGGACUGCAGGGUGGUGCCUGUGGUGGAAAACGAUUUUCUAGUGGUUGGGGAUGAGCUCGCGGCCUAUCAGCUUGUUGGUGGGGUAAUGGCCUACCAAGGCGGCGACGGGUAGCCGGCCUGGGAGGGUGGACGGCCACAUUGGGACUGAGAUACGGCCCAGACUCCGACGGGAGGCAGCAGUGGGGAAUAUUGCACAAUGGGCGGAAGCCUGAUGCAGCGACGCCGCGUGGGGGAUGACGGCCUUCGGGUUGUAAACUCCUUUCGACCGCGAGGAAGCCACCUGGUUGGAAGGGUGGUGACGGUAGUGGGAGAAGAAGCACCGGCUAACUACGUG